rnacentral:lncRNA from 1 species
GAGCCGCUCCACUGAGCCAAUGCACCACUGUGCCGCACCUCCUGGUGCCAAUCUCACACUCCACCGAGCCGCUCCGAAGAGCAAAACGCACCCCUGUGCCGCCACUAUUUUAUCACCGGUGGUCGCGGUAUCGGAACUAGUUCCUCAGUACAAGUCGACAGGGCCAAUGUAUCAUCCCAUUGGCGGGGCCUAGACUAUAGUCACGCGGUUUUAAAAAUCAAUAAAUCAACUUUCCACAUGGUAAAUUUCCAAAUCAAAAUCAUGAUCAUACUCCCAAUAGUAAAGCACAUAACAGUUUAUGAAAUUAAAUAUUUAAUUCUAAUUCUAUCACAUAAUGCCAAUAAUAAAUUAUAACAUCAACCUAUGCAAGAUACAUGUUAAAAUUCUACUUUAAAGCAAUAGGUCACCUACCUGGGCUAGCUUAACAAUCCCUGCCACAGAUAUCACGAACCCCUUAUUAAAACAUAAACAUUAAUUAUUUAAUUAAUUAAGAAACAUAAUUAAACUAUUUCCAAUCCCUUAAACUCCUAAGUUCAUAGAUCCAAGAAUGGGCCCCCAAGAUCAAACAUAGACCCUAAGAACAAGUAAACCAAAACCCCAAAAUCAGAAUCCUUUAAACCCAAAACCAAUUGUGGCCCAAAACAGAUUAGGCCCAAUUGAACCAAACCAGAUUACAGGUCCAGAUCAGAUUUCGGGCCCAAACCAAACCAGCCUACAGAUCCAAUCAGGUCCAACUCAGCCCAAAAAUAGAUCCCCAGCCCAACCCAAACCAGAUCUGAUUAGACCAGAUUAGAUCAAAUCUUAACGAACCAGAUUACACUCAAAUCAAACUAACCCAAAUUUCUGACUCAGAUUCAGACCAUAACCAAAACCCAUUCACUCAGACUCGGAUCAAACCCAAUUCCAGGAAUAGGUGGGACCGGUUCAUAGCCUCAACCGAUUCAGGGUCUGAUCCACAAUGAGGAACGGAAAUCAAAGCAAGAAAAGCUCUGGAAGAAGGAAGAAGAAGAAGAAGAAAGAGAAGAAGAAGAAGAAAGAGAAGAAGAAGAAAGAGAAGAAGAAGAAGGGGGAAGAAAGGAAGAAGGGAGGGUGGCUGGUGGUUCCGGUCGGCCUUCGGCGGCCGACCGUGGCCCUCGGCUAGCCAUCGUCGGCCACGCCGCUGUCACGAGCAGCGGAAGCGAAGAAGAACAGAAGAAGGAGAGGAAGAAAGGGAGGGAAGAGAGAGACCGGGGCUGGAAAGCCCGGCCCCCGUUCGUCCACCUCCGGCCGAACUCAUUUCGGCCUGGAUUGACUCCGGCCGGCCACCGUCGGCCAGCCGAAACUCACAAAAACUUCCCCGAAACAGGGGAAGUGAAACCGAUUGACAUACCAUCAUUCCUCUCUCCUUAAAUCCAUAAAAAAAAUAGUAAAUAGGUUGUCUUUCUCACCUCCGGUCGUCGACGAGUAGAUUCCCCGCGGUGAUGGCGGCUCCGGCGGCGACGGUGGCUCCGGCGAUCCUCUCAAGAAAAGGGAAAAAGAAGAGGGGAAAGCUUAAAUUUUUUUAGAGGGAUGAGGGCUCCUCUGAGAGUUCCUAAACUCUCUUUAACGAAGAGAGAGAGAGAGAGAGAAGAGGGGUGCGGGGGUUUCGCUGGCCGUUCGGCCGGCGUGGUGAUCGUGGGGAUGACCAUGAUGAAUAAAUUGAAGUCGGCACCCAUUGCCGACUUCAGUUCGUUGGGCCCAAAGACGGGCCCAAAUUCAGAUCUUUACAGUCUCAAAAAUAUCAGCAAGGAGAGACGAAGUCUCCUGCACUAAG